rnacentral:rRNA from 1 species
GACGAACGCUGGCGGCGUGCUUAACACAUGCAAGUCGAACGGAAAGGCCCUGCUUUUGUGGGGUGCUCGAUUGGCGAACGGGUGAGUAACACGUGAGUAACCUGCCCUUGACUUUGGGAUAACUUCAGGAAACUGGGGCGAAUACCGGAUAGGAUCUCCUGCUGCAUGGUGGGGGUUGGAAAGUUUCGGCGGUUGGGGAUGGACUCGCGGCUUAUCAGCUUGUUGGUGGGGUAGUGGCUUACCAAGGCUUUGACGGGUAGCCGGCCUGAGAGGGUGACCGGCCACAUUGGGACUGAGAUACGGCACAGACUCCUACGGGAGGCAGCAGUGGGGAAUAUUGCACAAUGGGCGGAAGCCUGAUGCAGCAACGCCGCGUGCGGGAUGACGGCCUUCGGGUUGUAAACCGCUUUCGCCUGUGACGAAGCGUGAGUGACGGUAAUGGGUAAAGAAGCCCCGGCUAACUACGUG